CAAAGUUGCCUCAUUUCACUAUCAAACCAUACGUAACUAAGGAGAAGCUUCACCGCGUCACGUGAUAAACAAUGGCGGCCAGGGGUCGAAGUACCCGUAUGUUCGGUUCCGAGAAUUGGCCUCGGCGGGAACGUUACUCUGAACACGUCUACCAGACCAGUUUUCAAUGAAACCAGGGGCGAGGUACUCGGGUAUCAUCACUUCGGCAAGGGCUUCUGCAUCACACAAUCGGAGUUGGUGCCAGAGGGGACAGCUUUCGUGGUCAUGUGACAUGACCAUAUGUGGAAAAGGGCCAAAGUUCCUUGUUCUUGGUGUGGAUCUCACACAAGGCAUUCUACUCUGGUCACCGAGCAAUCAACACCGAGUUACUCGAGCCAUCUUAAGGUUUGGACUCUGGUCGUGUGGGGUAAGUGAUACUGGCAUCAUUACAUAUUAGUUUGUUCAUUCAUAUUAUACUUUUACAGAUAUGUAUAUUAUAAUUUUCAUAAUUUGUACUUAAAUGGUACAUAUGUGAUCAGUCAUUUUUAUAAACGAAUGUCCAAGUAGACAGUACAAAACCUGUAUUUAGUGGACACAUAUUUAGUAUGCUUUUAAAUAGAGGUGACCUUUUUAGUAAAAGUCUCAUCUCUGUACUUAUUUGAAUAAUUAAUAUUAGAAUAUUGCAUACAUAUUAACGAGGUUAAUGGUUUAAUUAUUGUAAAUGUUUAUGCUGGGAUAAAAUAUAUUAAAGACAUUGUUAGUAUUGAAAGGAAAGAGCUGAGUUAGUGAGCAAAAUAUAUUUUAUCACCAAAUGAUCACACAUGUAAACGAUUACUGCAAGGGAACAGUUGGUAUUUAGCCUCUCUCUCUCAGUAGGGGAUUAUGGUGUGUGUCCUAAUUAGCACCAACAGCUCUAACUCUAAGAGACCAAAGCACUUGGAAUUUUGGGAAAUAGUCAGAAUGACCGGGGGUCAUUCCUUUAGCAGACGACCAGUUUGACACCGAUAUCUAUUAAAUCCUCAGCUGCAACAUAAACAUUGGUCUCAGCUUGAAAUUAAUUGACUUAAGCUGAAUAACCUUUGGUAAUGUGUUUGUAUUUGUUUGAGAAUGGCUUUCUCACUUUGUUUUUAUGUGAAGGAUAUACAUGUACACUAGAGAAGAAACGUAUACAACUUUACAUAAUUAGAAUAGGAAAACAUGUUUAUCAGGAUAAUAUUAAAGUAAAAAUGCUUUUCUAAUAAUAGAGUGACAGUUCUUAUUAAGUGUUUAGAAAUAAUCUAUUUUGUAUUGUUAACUUGUUGCAUUAGUGCCGGCCAAAUUUAUAUGGGUUGAGGAUGAUUACAAAUGUCUUAUUCAUGUUACUUCUUCUUGAAGCCAUGAUUUAAUGAUAUUGUGGAAAAAUUUGUAUUUUAUUUAUAU